rnacentral:tRNA from 1 species
GCCGGGGUGCCCGAGUUAGGUCCAAGGGGUCGGACACUUAAUCCGAUGCCUCGUAAGAGGCUCCCGGGUUCAAGUCCCGGCCCCGGCG